GCUGGGCACAGUGGCUCAUGCCUGUAAUCCCCUUGUCUCAGGAGGCUGAGGCAGGAGGAUCAAGAGUUCAAAGUCAGCCUCAGCCAAAGUGAGGCCCUAAGCAACUCAGUGAGACCCUGUCUCUA
rnacentral:sRNA from 1 species